rnacentral:rRNA from 1 species
GAUGAACGCUGGCGGCGUGCUUAACACAUGCAAGUCGAACGGUGAAGCAGGAGCUUGCUCUUGUGGAUCAGUGGCGAACGGGUGAGUAACACGUGAGCAACCUGCCCCUGACUCUGGGAUAAGCGCUGGAAACGGCGUCUAAUACUGGAUAUGUGAUGUGACCGCAUGGUCUGCAUCUGGAAAGAAUUUCGGUUGGGGAUGGGCUCGCGGCCUAUCAGCUUGUUGGUGAGGUAAUGGCUCACCAAGGCGUCGACGGGUAGCCGGCCUGAGAGGGUGACCGGCCACACUGGGACUGAGACACGGCCCAGACUCCUACGGGAGGCAGCAGUGGGGAAUAUUGCACAAUGGGCGGAAGCCUGAUGCAGCAACGCCGCGUGAGGGAUGACGGCCUUCGGGUUGUAAACCUCUUUUAGCAGGGAAGAAGCGAGAGUGACGGUACCUGCAGAAAAAGCACCGGCUAACUACGUGCCAGCCGCCGCAGUAC